rnacentral:rRNA from 1 species
GACGAACGCUGGCGGCGUGCUUAACACACGCAAGUCGAGCGGUAAGCCCUUCGGGGUACGACGAGCGGCGAACGGGUGAGUAACACGUGGGUGACCUGCCCUCAGCUCUGGGAUAAGCCUGGGAAACCGGGUACUAAUACCGGAUAUGACUCCAUGACGCAUGUUGUGGGGUGGAAAGCCUUGUGCGGCUGAGGAUGGGCCCGCGGCCUAUCAGCUUGUUGGUGGGGUGAUGGCCUACCAAGGCGACGACGGGUAGCCGGCCUGAGAGGGCGACCGGCCACACUGGGACUGAGACACGGCCCAGACUCCUACGGGAGGCAGCAGUGGGGAAUCUUGCGCAAUGGGCGAAAGCCUGACGCAGCGACGCCGCGUGAGGGAUGACGGCCUGG